AACGAACGCUGGCGGCAGGCUUAACACAUGCAAGUCGAACGCACCUUUCGGGGUGAGUGGCAGACGGGUGAGUAACGCGUGGGAAUCUACCCUUCUCUACGGGAUAGCUCCGGGAAACUGGAAUUAAUACCGUAUACGUCCUGAGGGAGAAAGAUUUAUCGGGGAAGGAUGAGCCCGCGUUGGAUUAGCUAGUUGGUGGGGUAAAGGCCUACCAAGGCGACGAUCCAUAGCUGGUCUAAGAGGAUGAUCAGCCACAUUGGGACUGAGACACGGCCCAAACUCCUACGGGAGGCAGCAGUGGGGAAAAUUGGACAAUGGGCGCAAGCCUGAUCCAGCCAUGCCGCGUGAGUGAUGAAGGCCCUAGGGUUGUACAGCUCUUUCAGUGGGGACGAUAAUGACGGUACCCACAGAAGAAGCCCCGGCUAACUUCGUGCCAGCCGCCGCCGUAAGAC
rnacentral:rRNA from 1 species